AUGAUCCUUUGCCCAGGCCCAAAACGGUCAUUAGCAGUUACUGUGCGGAUUACAGAGAGAAGAAAAUUUUACAGAACAAAAGAAGAGCGGAAGGAGACUGUCGAUAAAUAUCCGAUAAUCUGGAUCCUCCGAAUUCACCGCGAGGUCUCACUCCAACCAAGUCACACCGCUGGUGAAUCUCGACUGCGAGAGCCUCCAGGCCACAACCUACUCAGAGCCUCUACUCAAAACACUAUCCUCUUCCUUCCCACCUCACCUCCAACGGGCAACUUCCAUCACAGCCAACAUUGUCGCAAUCCGAUCUCAGAUCCGCAGUCGCCAUAA